GCUUCAAAUGCUGAGCCUUUUCUCCACUUUACAGCGGAGGGAAAGAAAAAGGCCCCCCUCCACAGCUUAACUGCGAAAGCGGGGGGAGGAAGAGGGCUUGGCCGCAAGGCCUGCCUUCUCUCUUUCUUGCUUACCAGUUGUUUGUGAGUCGCGUCCCUCACAAACAUACACUCACCCCAAUGCUGUCUCUAACUCUGGCCUAGGCAGAGUGUGUGUGGGGGCCACAGGGCUCCGCUUUCUCCCCCGGAGGGGGGGAAGAAGGAGCCCAGCCACCCCCGGCCUUCUACACCUACACGCAGCAGACACCAACAGAAAAACUGCCAACAGCUUCAGGUGGCUGUGUGUAUAUGAUUUUUCAGCAGAAGCGAAUAAGACAAGUGGUGACUGGCUCUCCAGGGAACACUGCCCUGGCACCCAGUCACCUCUGAGCCCCCAACUCCCGGGAGGGCCAUCUCAAACCGUGACAACAACAUUCUGAACAAAACCCUUCAGUAAUAUGAAAAAGUAAUAAAAUGUGUCAGGUUGGUAAACUGCCACAUUAUUUCAAGGGCUUAGCUCUACGGUGAAUCCUUCCUUUGCGGUGUCAUCUUCACUGUCCCUUGAGGUGGGUUACAGCAGCAAUUGUGUCAUAGAUGGCUUGGCAGCUACUGAAGUGACAGGCUCCAAGUGGUCACUGUGCAAUGAAAGGCCUUCCAUUGAGACACAUUUCCCUAUUACAAUGACAGUUGCUCAUUUAUUAAUCACUCUUUACACAAAAUAAAGGGGUAUAUGUAUGUGUGGGUGUUUGUGGGAAGGCAAUAUGGAGAAGUAGCUUGCUUAAAAGCCUAUGGAAGUACAUGAGUGAUGGAGAAAAGCUGAGAAGAAAGCCUUGAUGAAGAAGGUAAAGGAAGUAUACUGCAGCUGUCGCAGCGUCACUUUUUAUUCAUGUUCAGAUAAUGAAAGGAGCAGGUUUACUCUUGCUUAUGUAA